CCUUUGAAUGGGAAGGACCUAGCUGCUUGAAGGAGUAUAAGGUGUCUUCACUCCCCCUCUAAACCAGGUCAGUUUUGUAACCAGCUCAGCCUCCUUCUCAGUUGUGGGAUUGAGAGCCUUCAAAGCGAUGUACCACCAUCAGGGAAAAUAUGGAGAGGGCGACUCUUCCCCCUCCCAUGGCAGAGGCGUGUGAAGAGGUCCAAGACUGAACAGUGUCCAGAUUCCUCCCUGAACAUCUGCCUUUUGUCAGCUGUGAGAUCUGCGCAGGAAGCGAGUCCUGCUGAAUAAUGCAUCAUGCCGACCUCAUAAAGAGCAGCAUGAACCUCGGAUGGAAGAAAGCUGGCGGGUCUGACCCUCCCCAGCUGAUCUGCCUGCUUUUAGCAGGGGACAGUGUGAUGCAUGGCUAGAAGGGAUUAAACAGCCUGCAAAAUAACCCUCAGAAGGUGUGUGGGGAGAUAAUGUUGGUGGUUUUGUCUUUACAUAUGUAUAAGUAGGGUCAACAAUGUAAUCAACAGUCCCUCAUAUGCUGUGUUCUGACAAUUCAGGGGUCAAAAGAUCCUAACAUUUAGACGAUUUGUAAACACAGAAUAUCUCAGUAUUUAUCUCUUUGAACUGUAUUGUGAAUAGCCAUAUGUUAAUUCUGUAGCUAAGUACUGAUGAUGGACCUCCUUCAAAAUCAUCCUAAUUACCUUUUGUUACCUGAGGAACUCCAACUUUUCAAAAGACAUGAAAUUGUAUAAAAGAUCUUUGGAUCCUGAUUCUGUCCUCUCAGAUCUGCUUAAGCUUCAUCGGGGGAAGUUUUGAGUUGCAAGACUGAGGUCCCAAUUACGCUGCUAUUCCCUGAAUAUGAGAUUUGGACAGUGGACUAUGACCUAUGAACUAUUUCUGAAGGAAAGCUUUGUAGUUGCAAAGUUUCUGCUGCGAAUCUGCACCUCAACAAAUUGAA